rnacentral:rRNA from 1 species
GACGAACGCUGGCGGCGUGCCUAACACAUGCAAGUCGAGCGAGGAGAGUUCCUUUGGGAACAAACCUAGCGGCGGACGAGUGAGUAACACGUGGGCAACCUGCCUUGUAGAGGGAAUAGCCUUCCGAAAGGAAGAUUAAUACCGCAUAACAUUACAGUUUCGCAUGAAACAGUAAUUAAAGGAGCAAUCCGCUACAAGAUGGCCCGCGGCGCAUUAGCUAGUUGGUGAGGUAACGGCUCACCAAGGCGACGAUGCGUAGCCGACCUGAGAGGGUGAUCGGCCACAUUGGGACUGAGACACGGCCCAGACUCCUACGGGAGGCAGCAGUGGGGAAUAUUGCACAAUGGGGGAAACCCUGAUGCAGCAACGCCGCGUGAGUGAUGAAGGUUUUCGGAUCGUAAAGCUCUGUCUUCGGGGACGAUAAUGACGGUACCCGAGGAGGAAGCCACGGCUAACUACGUG